rnacentral:rRNA from 1 species
ACUCCUACGGGAGGCAGCAGUGGGGAAUAUUGCACAAUGGGGGAAACCCUGAUGCAGCCAUGCCGCGUGUGUGAAGAAGGCCUUCGGUUGUAAAGCACUUUCAGUAGGGAGGAAGGUAGUGUAGUUAACACCUGCAUUAUUUGACGUUACCUACAGAAGAAGCACCGGCUAACUCCGUGCCAGCAGCCGCGGUAAUACGGAGGGUGCGAGCGUUAAUCGGAAUUACUGGGCGUAAAGCGCAUGCAGGCGGCCUGUUAAGUCAGAUGUGAAAGCCCGGGGCUUAACCUCGGAAUUGCAUUUGAAACUGGCAGGCUAGAGUCUUGUAGAGGGGUUAGAAUUUCAGGUGUAGCGGUGAAAUGCGUAGAGAUCUGAAGGAAUCCAGUGGCGAAGGCGGCCCCUGGACAAAGCUGACGCUCAGAUGCGAAAGCGUGGGACGCAAACAGGAUUAGAUACCCCGUGGUAGCGACUGA